UGGUAAUCGAAUCACAAAGCUCACUUUACUUGACAAAAUGAUAAUUGUUAAUUUCCUUCAACGAUUCUAAUGAAAAGGCAUUUCAUUGAAGCGUUUCUGUCUGGACGAUGAGAUGUAGAAGGGUUUCAAUGAACGAGCACUGAGAUUAGCGGAUAGGGGUUUAAGGAUUGGGUUGAGAAUUUAGCUUUGGGGAUUUUGGAGAAUGGCUUCGGUAUCUCAUUCUCCAAUUGCAUUUACUGGAAAACCGGCUUCGGAUCUUCUUCGGAGUUCUAGCAAUGGUGUUCGUGGUCUUCCAUUGAGAACUCUUGGGAGAACGCGAUUAGGGAUUGGGAUCUGGAUCCGAAUGUUAAAGGUGGAGUCCUUACUCACCUAUCCCAUUUCAAGCCUCUCAAAGAGAAACCCAAACCCGUUACUCUGGAGUUUGAGAAGCCUUUAGUUGAUCUUGAAAAGAAAAUCAUGGACGUUCGGAAGAUGGCAACUGAAACUGGGUUGGACUUCAGUGAUCAGAUCAUUAUGUUGGAGAACAAGUAUCAUCAGGUUUUGCACUCCGGUAUAGGUUUUUCCAAGAUCCCCGUCAUAGCUGGAACAUGUAUUAUUAAUUUCAUAUCAUAUUUCACACUUGCAUCCCCAUUCAAAAAGACCUAUCUUUCGAUCUUGCUAAUUUCUUCUCUCUAGGGUACACUGCCACUGUUUUGCUCAAUAACCAUAAAUAAUCGGACUUGCUCGGAGAGCUUCAGGUACUCUUUUAAUUUUCUUAUUAUUAUUCUUAAUUUCAAAUUUAGCUUCGUAUGUUGUUAAAUUAUUGAAGCUUAAUUGUUAAUCUACUUUCUUCUUAUUGUUGGAUGGAUUUGAUUAAUUUCGAUUUUGUAGUUUGGGUUUUCAAGUGGUUUUGUAACGAUCCUAUGGAAUUCCAUAUUAGCAUAUAGGAUGAAUUAGGUCGACAAAUAUAUAGUUUCUGCAAAAAUUUGAGCCAUCAUAGACUUGAUAAUUUUUUUAGUUUAUUUGUGUAUUUAUGAGAUUUUUUUUUUAUGAAUUACUCUUUUUAAAAAUAAAUAUGUUUAUAUAAAUUUAAAUUUAAACUCUAUAUAAAAUAAUACUUUUUUUUCUAGAAAUAUAAAACUAAUUUCAUUAACAAUCAUCAAUAUAAAAUUUAAACUCUAUAUUAAAAAAUACUUUUUUUUUUCUAGAAAUAUAAAGCUACAGACUAAUUUCAUUAACAAUCAUCCAUAUAAAUAUUCAAGUAUGAAUAAAUCAGAACAAUUCAAAAUCAUAACAAAUAAAUAUUCAAGUAUUUCAAUAAAUUCAUAAACAAAUAAAUCAGAACAAUUCAAAAUCUCAAAUCAAAAAAAUUAAAAGUUUAGAUUUAUAAUCUUUACAAAUAUGAAAAACUUAAAUAGAUCUAUCUACCAUUGUUGUUGUCGUUGCUUAGUUACUGAAUUCUUAAACAAAAACCACUAGAACUUAUAUAAAACUAAUAUUUACGUGGCUCGCCACGUAACUCUCGUCUAGUAUAUAUAUAUAUAUGUAUGUGUGUUGUUUGUUUUUGAAUUGUAAUAAGAAAGUACCACUACGUACUUAUAUAGUACUAGGAUAUAUGUCAAACCAUGUUGUUAUAUAUAUAAUGUGGAAAUAUAAGAUAUGUAUCCCAACUGGUACUUUCACAUGAAUAAUAUGCUUGUUCAAUAUAUCUAUAUAAUAUGUUAAGGUAUGGCCUCUACACUAUUAUUCGAACAAAGUAUUAGUGUACUGGAGAUCACUUCAGCUAAGCUAUGAUGAAAAACGAAAAUAUGCAACUACUACUUCUUUUUCUUUCAACUUAGCUCAUAGUGAUGUAAUUGAAUUUAAUAUCUAAUGAAUAAAAGAGUUGAGUAAAGCUUGUUGGUA